AGAACCAGUGAGGUUAGUUUUAGUGUGUUACGCAGCACAUUUGAGCUUCUGCAAGAACCAGUGAGGUUAGUUUUGGUGUGUUACGCAGCACAUUUGAGCUUCUGCAAGGACCAGUGAGGUUAGUUUUGGUGUGUUACGCAGCACAUUUGAGCUUCUGCAAGAACCAGUGAGGUUAGUUUUGGUGUGUUACGCAGCACAUUUGAGCUUCUGCAAGGAC